rnacentral:rRNA from 1 species
UUCCAGACUCCUACGGGAGGCAGCAGUGAGGAAUAUUGGUCAAUGGGCGCGAGCCUGAACCAGCCAAGUCGCGUGAGGGAGGACGGCCCUACGGGUUGUAAACCUCUUUUGCCGGGGAGCAACGGGCGUCACGUGUGGCGCCACUGAGAGUACCCGGAGAAAAAGCAUCGGCUAACUCCGUGCCAGCAGCCGCGGUAAUACGGAGGAUGCGAGCGUUAUCCGGAUUUAUUGGGUUUAAAGGGUGCGUAGGCGGGCCUUUAAGUCAGCGGUAAAAAUUCGGGGCUCAACCCCGUCCGGCCGUUGAAACUGGGGGCCUUGAGUGGGCGAGAAGAAGGCGGAAUGCGUGGUGUAGCGGUGAAAUGCAUAGAUAUCACGCAGAACCCCGAUUGCGAAGGCAGCAUACCGGUGCACAACUGACGCUCAGGCACGAAAGCGUGGGUAUCGAACAGGAUUAGAUACCCGUGUAC